GACGAACGUUGGCGGUGCGCUUAAUGCAUGCAAGUCGAACGAGAACUGGUUCAACCGUAAGGUUGUUCCAGGGACAGUGGCGAACGGGUGCGUAACACGUGAGAAACCUGCCCUGGAGAUCGGGAUAGCCCGAGGAAACUCGGAUUAAUACCGAAUACCUUCACCGAGUCGCAUGGCUCUAUGAAGAAAUGGUCCGCCGCUCCAGGAUGGUCUCGCGGCCUAUCAGCUUGUUGGUGAGGUAACGGCUCACCAAGGCAGCGACGGGUAGCUGGUCUGAGAGGACGAUCAGCCACACUGGGACUGAGACACGGCCCAGACUCCUACGGGAGGCAGCAGCAGGGAAUAUUGCACAAUGGGCGAAAGCCUGAUGCAGCGACACCGCGUGCGGGAUGAAGGCCUUCGGGUUGUAAACCGCUUUCAGGAGGGACGAAAAUGACGGUACCUCCAGAAGAAGGCCCGGCCAACUAUGUG
rnacentral:rRNA from 1 species